ACAAUGAUGAUGUCACUGACUCUGCUGCUCUUCACCCUGGAGCUCCUCGUUCAGGCUUCAUCAGGAGAACUGCUGACUCAGACUACUGGAGCUCAGUCUGUAGUUCAAGGACAGACUGUCUCCAUCACAUGUAAAACCAGUCAAAGCCCUUACUACUGCUUCAACUGGUAUCUUCAGAAACAAGGAGAAGUCCCUAAACUUCUUAUUUAUUGUACAAACUCUCGUCAGUCUGGAGUUUCUGAUCGUUUCAGUGGAUCAUACUCUGGAUUAGAUUACACUCUGACCAUCAGUGGAGUUCAGCCUGAAGAUUCAGGAGUUUAUUACUGUCAGACUGGCCACAGCAUCAACAGUCAGUAUGUGUUCACACAGUGAAAAACCGUCGUACAAAAACCUCCAUCAGAAACUGAACUGAGAAUGAAACAGUUCACUGAACACUCCCCCA